GACGAACGCUGGCGGCGUGCUUAACACAUGCCAGUCGAACGGAAAGCCCCUGCUUUUGUGGGGUGCUCGAGUGGCGAACGGGUGAUUAACACGUGAGUAACCUGCCCUUGACUUUGGGAUAACUUCAGGAAACUGGGGCUAAUACCGGAUAGGAGCUCCUGCUGCAUGGUGGGGGUUGGAAAGUUUCGGCGGUUGGGGAUGGACUCGCGGCUUAUCAGCUUGUUGGUGGGGUAGUGGCUUACCAAGGCUUUGACGGGUAGCCGGCCUGAGAGGGUGACCGGCCACAUUGGGACUGAGAUACGGCCCAGACUCCUACGGGAGGCAGCAGUGGGGAAUAUUGCACAAUGGGCGGAAGCCUGAUGCAGCAACGCCGCGUGCGGGAUGACGGCCUUCGGGUUGUAAACCGCUUUCGCCUGUGACGAAGCGUGAGUGACGGUAAUGGGUAAAGAAGCACCGGCUAACUACGUG
rnacentral:rRNA from 1 species